rnacentral:lncRNA from 12 species
UAGUGUUUUGCAUAUAAAAUAGAUUUACAAUAGUUAUAAGUAGAAUAGAAUAGAAUUGAAUGGAAUAGAAGAAUAGAAUAGAAUAGAAUAGAAUAGAAUAGAAUAGAAUAGAAUAGAAUAGAAUAGGAGAAUACUAGAAGUGUUAGUAACAACGGUAAGAGAGAAGAAAGCUGAUUCACUAUAAUACUGAAAAUUUAAGAAUUCCAGUUGUUGAGAAGGAUCAAAGAGAUACAACUUCAGUAAGCAACUGUCUCAAAGUGUGAACAAUGUUAUGACAUUGUCUAUUGUCCUCCUAUUAUUUCUGAAGAAAUUAAAUUACCAGUAAGUUUAUAUUAAUAUUUAUUUAUUUUUAAAGAUUUUAUUUAUUUAUUUGAGAGAGAGAGAGCAGAGGGAGAA